GGCCCGGACUGUCAUGUGAUUCCGCUCUCACUCUCUCAAGUGUCAUUCGGCCGCCGCCUGCGCCUGGGGCCGGGCUUGCUAUGGCAUUGUUCAAGUACCCACUGGACCGUGGUUUUGCAGGAAAUGUGAAUCUCAGGAGAGAGCAGCCAGAGUGAGAUGUGAACUUUGUCCCCAUAAGGAUGGAGCUUUAAAAAGAACAGAUAAUGGGGGUUGGGCCCAUGUGGUUUGUGCCCUGUAUAUUCCAGAGGUACAAUUUGCCAAUGUUUCCACAAUGGAACCAAUUGUUUUACAGUCUGUUCCGCAUGAUCGUUAUAAUAAGACUUGCUACAUUUGUGAUGAACAAGGAAGAGAAAGCAAAGCAGCCACUGGUGCUUGCAUGACAUGUAAUAAACAUGGAUGUCGACAGGCUUUCCAUGUAACAUGCGCUCAGUUUGCCGGACUGCUUUGUGAAGAAGAAGGUAAUGGUGCCGAUAAUGUCCAAUACUGUGGCUACUGUAAAUACCAUUUUAGUAAGCUGAAAAAGAGCAAACGGGGAUCUAAUAGGUCAUAUGAUCAAAGUUUAAGUGAUUCUUCCUCUCACUCUCAGGAUAAACAUCAUGAGAAAGAGAAAAAAAAAUAUAAAGAGAAGGACAAACACAAACAGAAACACAAGAAGCAGCCAGAACCAUCACCUGCAUUGGUUCCAUCCUUGACUGUUACUACAGAAAAAACUUAUACAAGCACUAGCAACAACUCUAUAUCUGGAUCAUUGAAGCGCUUGGAAGAUACUACUGCACGAUUUACAAAUGCAAAUUUCCAGGAAGUCUCUGCACACACCUCUAGUGGAAAAGAUGUUUCAGAGACUAGAGGGUCAGAGGGCAAAGGGAAGAAAUCUUCAGCUCACAGCUCAGGUCAAAGGGGAAGAAAGCCUGGUGGUGGAAGAAAUCCAGGAACAACUGUGUCAGCAGCUAGCCCUUUUCCUCAAGGCAGUUUUUCAGGAACUCCAGGCAGUGUAAAGUCAUCUUCUGGAAGUUCAGUGCAGUCUCCCCAGGAUUUCCUGAGCUUUACAGACUCAGAUCUGCGUAAUGACAGUUACUCUCACUCCCAACAGUCAUCAGCAACCAAAGAUGUACAUAAAGGAGAGUCUGGAAGCCAGGAAGGGGGGGUAAAUAGUUUUAGUACCUUAAUUGGCCUCCCUUCAACCUCAGCUGUUACUUCACAGCCUAAAAGCUUUGAAAAUUCACCUGGAGAUUUGGGUAAUUCCAGCCUUCCUACAGCAGGAUAUAAGCGGGCUCAAACUUCUGGCAUAGAAGAAGAAACUGUAAAGG
rnacentral:lncRNA from 1 species